rnacentral:rRNA from 1 species
UACCAGCUCUUCGAGUGGUGUGGAUGUUUAUUGGGCCUAAAGCAUCCGUAGCUGGCUGGGCAAGUCCCCUGUUAAAUCCACCGAUUUAAUCGUUGGAGAGCGGGGGAUACUGUUCGGCUAGGGGACGGGAGAGGCAGACGGUAUUUUCGGGGUAGGGGUGAAAUCCUAUAAUCCCGGGAAGACCACCAGUGGCGAAGGCUGUCUGCUAGAACGCGCCCGACGGUGAGGGAUGAAAGCUGGGGGAGCGAACCGGAUUAGAUACCCGGGUAGUCCCAGCUGUAAACGAUGCAGGCUAGGUGUUUGGGCGGCCACGUGCCGCUCUAGUGCCGCAGGGAAGCCGUUAAGCCUGCCGCCUGGGGAGUACGGCCGCAAGGCUGAAACUUAAAGGAAUUGGCGGGGAGCACCACAAGGGGUGAAGCUUGCGGUUU